ensembl:lncRNA
CCCUGGCCUCCCACCCUGAGACCCUCAUUCUCUCCUCCUCCUUCUACGCUCCUCUCUCUCUCUAAUUAAAGGGAGUACACCCCCUGUUGCAGGAGAACUUCCUCCUACCAGUUUCAAAAUGUGCGCUCGGUGCAGUCGUGACCGCCGUGAAGGUCCUGAGAGGACGAACACUGAGAAUAUUAUGGAGCGAACGAUGACCUUCAACCCUGUGCAUCUGCCUCUUUAACUGCUCCAACUGGAUACCAACAUCCAACAUUUCUUUCUUCAAUACCACUGUCAGAUCAAUGUUAUACCAGAUCAAAGCCCAUUUAAACGCAGCAUCCAUAAAUCAAGUGGAAC